AAAUAUGAAUAUUGGUAGCAGUUCGCGGUAGCACGAAUUCACGAACUGCUACUAAAAGUGUCAAAAUCGGAACACAACUCUUUCGUAGCAUUGAAUUUGCACUAGGAAAAAAAUCUAUCAAGCGGGAACACAAAAAUCACAAAUUUUGUUUAAGAUAACACUUUGGUGGGGAAAUUUUUUUUUUGUCCGCCAACACUUAGAAAAAAAUUGAUUAUUCCCUCUGUUUUUUUUUUCCCCUCUCUCAUCUCUAACGCUGAAUUUUUUUUUUUCCUUAUUUCAUUCUAUCGAUGCUCUUCCAUCAUCUUCUUCAAUCAUAAACCUUGUUCAAAAUCAAAACUUAUGAACCUAAAUUCCAUGCCAAUCGAAGACACUAAGCUGAGAACCAAACCCUAAUAGUGCCUUCCUCUGUCGCUCUUCACCACCAUGGCUUGAAGAGAUAAGGUUGCAGAGGAUGUCGGUUAUUGAUAAAUGCUUAUGAAUUUCAAAGUUCUCGACGCCGUCUAGGUUUGUUGUCAGGGACGCUCUGCCAGUCUAUAGAAGUUGAAGAAGAAGACGAACAAGCUGUUCAGCUACGCUCUACCAGUUACUAUCACCACCAAAACUAGAUCUUCUUCUAGCUUUUCUCAAGGUGAAAACAAAGAGGGAUGAGUUUCCUUGGCCUUUUCAUCGGUUCUGCGGGUGUAUGUAUGGAGCAAAACAUAAUCCUUACAUCCACAUGAGUUUCCUUGGCCUUUUCACUUUUACAGCAUAUUAUUUACCAUGGGUACUACUUGGAUUCUCUGUCUUACUUACAUCAACUGCAAAGGACAUAAUAAACAUGUUCUUUAAGGCUGUGUGUGGAGAGGUGUGUACAUAAAGUAGCUAACUUUGAUGAGUUUACAGGUCACUGGAACGGAUAUAAAACUCAUCGUUGAGUUUCUCAGGUUGUCUUUUGCUUUGAGUUCAUGUUUCAUAUCAAGAGCAAGAUAACCAAAAUGGGAUCGAAUUGCAGGCUGAUGAGAUUUCAAGGAUAUGUUUUUGCUCUCUUUUGUUGUUUGAAAAUGUAAGCUCUUUAUCUUAACAACAGGUGAUGCCUUGAUCUAUCUUAAAGCUGUCAAGGAUAUGUUGCAGGCUGAUAAGAUGACAAGGAUAUGUCUUAGAUGUGAAGUCUUACGAUAACGGUUAUCGUGAUCCAUGGAUAUAUUCAACGUUACAGCUAUGCGUAGUCCAUGUUUCUCUCUGUUUGGCUUUUCUUGUUCGAUUCCUUGAGCUUGAGCCUUCAAUGCCAUUUACUCCCUCGGUGAUGGAAGUGGCCAGAUCUUGUCUUUAUGGAUACAAUGGAACUACACCAGAUCUAAAGCAACAUGAAGCGUGUAGAUCAACAGGUGAACCCUGUGUCGUUGGUACCUUCCCUUGAGGCGGAGUUAGAGGAAGCACACGCUCACAUUUUCGAGAAUGAGAAGCGGACUCACAGGAAGAAGCUUGAGCAGUUCUUGAGGAAAGUCAGUGAGGACAGGAGAGAGCUGCUUGGUGGAGCAGAGAGCACGAGAAGGUCCGAGCAAUCAUCGACGACAUGAAAUCUCGGCGACUGCAGCUGAAGAGAAAUUAUAAGGUAACCAAGAAGGAUGAUCCAAAGGUGACAGUUUUGAUGCAACAAGCUGAGUUUCUCAGUUAAUUGGCUCAGAAAAAUUAUACAGACAACACAGAACAAAGCAUGGAGGAGCUGAUGGAGACUAUUGGCAAAGUGGAUUUGCAAGUUUUGAAAUUAUGUAGUGGGUUGAUUUUAGACGUGGAAUGUAUAUCUUGGAUAAGUUAUGCUUUAAAUAAUUAUGUAUUUUUGGA